rnacentral:rRNA from 1 species
AGAGUUUGAUCCUGGCUCAGAUUGAACGCUGGCGGAAUGCUUUACACAUGCAAGUCGAACGGCAGCACGGGGGCAACCCUGGUGGCGAGUGGCGAACGGGUGAGUAACACAUCGGAACGUGCCCAGUCGUGGGGGAUAACUACGCGAAAGCGUAGCUAAUACCGCAUACGAUCUGAGGAUGAAAGCGGGGGACCUGCGAGGGCCUCGCGCGAUUGGAGCGGCCGAUGGCAGAUUAGGUAGUUGGUGGGGUAAAGGCCUACCAAGCCUGCGAUCUGUAGCUGGUCUGAGAGGACGACCAGCCACACUGGGACUGAGACACGGCCCACACUCCUACGGGAGGCAGCAGUGGGGAAUUUUGGACAAUGGGCGCAAGCCUGAUCCAGCCAUUCCGCGUGCAAGAUGAAGGCCCUCGGGUUGUAAACUGCUUUUGUACGGAACGAAACGCGCCGAGUUAAUACCUUGGCGUAAUGACGGUACCGUAAGAAUAAGCACCGGCUAACUACGUGCCAGCAGCCGCGGUAAUACGUAGGGUGCGAGCGUUAAUCGGAAUUACUGGGCGUAAAGCGUGCGCAGGCGGUGAUGUAAGACAGAUGUGAAAUCCCCGGGCUCAACCUGGGAACUGCAUUUGUGACUGCAUUGCUGGAGUGCGGCAGGAGGGGGGAUGGAAUUCCGCGUGUAGCAGUGAAAUGCGUAGAUAUG